GCUGGGUGUGAUAGCACAUACCUGUAAUCUCAACUCCUUGGGAGGCUAAGCCAGGAGGAUCACUAGAGCACACAAGUUCUAGACCAGCCUGGGCAACAUAGUGAGACCCCAUUU
rnacentral:sRNA from 1 species